CAGUCGCCGCGGUAAUACAGAGGGUGCGAGCGUUAAUCGGAUUUACUGGGCGUAAAGCGUGCGUAGGCGGCUUUUUAAGUUGGAUGUGAAAUCCCUGAGCUUAACUUAGGAAUUGCAUUCGAUACUGGGAAGCUAGAGUAUGGGAGAGGAUGGUAGAAUUCCAGGUGUAGCGGUGAAAUGCGUAGAGAUCUGGAGGAAUACCGAUGGCGAAGGCAGCCAUCUGGCCUAAUACUGACGCUGAGGUACGAAAGCAUGGGGAGCAAACAGGAUUAGAUACCCGUGUAGUCCCUGUCUCUUAACA
rnacentral:rRNA from 1 species